rnacentral:rRNA from 1 species
UAUGAUCGUACCUAGAACCGACACAGGUGUCCCUAGGCGAGAAACCUAAGGCGUGUCGGGUAUACACUAAUGCGAGGGAACUCGGCAAAUUAGCCCCGUACCUUUGGUAUAAGGGGUGCCUGUUCUUCUAACCUUGUGUUAGGAGAGCAGGUCGCAGUGACAAAGGGGUCUCGACUGUUUAAUAAAAACACAGGAAGCCGCAAGAGCGAAAGCUUGUGAACGGCUUCUGAAUCCUGGCCAGUACAGGUACCUGAAACCUGGGUCCAACUGGGCUAAGGGCCUGCAAACGCCGGGAGUAACUCUGACUCUCUCAAGGUAGCCAAAUGCCUUGUCGGGUAAGUUCCGACGUGCAUGAAUGGAUCAACGAGGGCCCCACUGUCCCCGCGUAGUACCCGGUGAAACCACAUAACGUGGACGAACAGUCCACGAUCUCCCAGCGGGAAAAGAAGUCCCUGUGGAGUUUUACUGCAGCCUGCCGCUGGAAUACGGCUAUGGAUACAGAGCGUAGUCGGGAGCCAUCGAUCUUACGUUCUCCGGGACGUAGGGGAGGCAACAAUGGAACACCGACUUUCUGUAACCGUGUUUCUUACCGGCUCCUAGAGGGCCGGAACAACGGUAGGUGGGCAGUUCGGCUGGGGCGGCACGCCCUUGAAAAGAUAUCAAGGGCGCCCUAAGGUUGGCUCAGGGGGGACAGAAACCCUCCGUAGAGUGCAAGGGCAAAAGCCAGCCUGACUGUAUCCCAAACAGUAAGGGAUGCAGAGGAGAAAUCCGGGCUUAGCGAUCAUCCAUGCUCCCCAUUGGUGGGGGCUGGAUGUGUCAGAAAAAUUACCCUAGGGAUAACAGGCUCGUCGCGGGCGAGAGUCCCCAUCGACCCCGCGGCUUGGUACCUCGAUGUCGGCUCUUCCUAUCCUGGCCCUGCAUAAGGGGCCAAGGGUGAGGCUGCUCGCCUAUUAAAAGGGAACGUGAGCUGGGUUUAGACCGUCGUGAGACAGGUCGGACUUUAUCUGCUGGGAGUGUUGGCUGCUUGAGGGGAAAGGGUCCCUAGUACGAGAGGAACUGGACGCUGCGGCCCCUAGUUAACCGGUUGUCUGAUAAGGCAGUCGCCGGGCAGCCACGCCGUUGUGGAUAAGAGCUGAAAGCAUCUAAGCUCGAAGCCUCUCCCGAAAAGAGGCAGCCAUUCCAGUUUCACUGGACGAAGGCUCCCAUAAAAGAUGGGUUUGAUGGAGCCGGGGUGUAAAUCAGAAGACUUCGGUCGACUGGUUCAGCCUGCGGCCACCAAUAGCCUGAGAUGUCGAGUCA